UGUGGCAAGCCAGGGGAGCUGGGGCUUCCUCACCCCCUCAGCACAGGAGGACUCCCUGUAGCCUCAGAAGAUGGAGCUCUCAGGGCCCCUGAGAGCCAAAGCGUGACCCCCAAGCCACUGGAGACUGAGCCUAGCAGGGAGACCGCCUGGUCCAUAGGCCUUCAGGUGACCGUGCCCUUCAUGUUUGCGGGCCUGGGACUGUCCUGGGCCGGCAUGCUUCUGGACUAUUUCCAGCACUGGCCUGUGUUUGUGGAGGUGAAAGACCUUUUGACGUUGGUGCCGCCCCUGGUGGGCCUGAAGGGGAACCUGGAGAUGACGCUGGCAUCCAGACUCUCCACAGCUGCCAACAUUGGACAAAUCGAUGACCCCCAGGAGCAGCACAGAGUCAUCAGCAGCAACCUGGCCCUCAUCCAGGUGCAGGCCACUGUCGUGGGGCUCUUGGCUGCUGUGGCUGCGCUGCUGUUGGGCGUGGUGUCUCAAGAGGAAGUGGAUGUCACCAAGGUGGAGUUGCUGUGUGCCAGCAGUGUCCUCACUGCCUUCCUUGCAGCCUUUGCCCUGGGUGAGCCAUGCCCCAGCUGUGAGCCCCCACCC
rnacentral:sRNA from 1 species